rnacentral:rRNA from 1 species
UACGUAUGGUGCAGGCGUUAUACGGAUUUACUGGGUGUAAAGGGAGCGCAGGCGGCACGGCAAGCCUGAUGUGAAAGCCCGCGGCCCAACCGCGGGACUGCAUUGGGAACUACCGGGCUGGAGUGCCGGAGAGGUAGGCGGAAUUCCUAGUGUAGCGGUGAAUGCGUAGAUAUUAGGAGGAACACCAGUGGCGAAGGCGGCCUACUGGACGGUGACUGACGCUGAGGCUCGAAAGCGUGGGGAGCAAACAGG